AUUGAACGCUGGCGGCAGGCUUAACACAUGCAAGUCGAGCGAGCGGCGGACGGGUGAGUAAGGUCUGGGAAACUGCCUGAUGGAGGGGGAUAACUACUGGAAACGGGAGCUAAUACCGCAUACCAUCAGAUGCGCCCAGAGUGGAUUCGCGAGUAGGUGGGGUAAUGGCUCACAUAGGCGACGAGCCCUAGCGGGUCUGAGAGGAGGACCAGCCACACUGGAACGGAGACACGGCCCAGACUCCUACGGGAGGCAGCAGUGGGGAAUAUUGCACAAUGGGCGCAGGCCUGCUGCAGCCAGGCCGCGUGGGUGAAGAAGGCCUUCGGGUUGUAAAGCACUUUCAGCGAGGAGGCGUUACUCGCAGAAGAAGCACCGGCUAACUCCGUGCCAGCAGCCGCGGUAAUUC
rnacentral:rRNA from 1 species